UUUAUGCUCUGUAAUUGGAAUGAUGGGAAUGUAAAACCCUUCCAGAGUAACAAUUGGAGGGCAAGUCUGGUGCCAGCAGCCGCGGUAAUUCCAGCUCCAAUAGUGUAUAUUAGAGUUGUUGCAGUUAAAAAGCUCGUAGUUGGAUUUCUGUCGUGGUCAUCCGGCUCCGCCCGUAUGGGUGUGCGCCUGGUUUGGCCUCGGCUUUCUUCCGGUAGCCUUCCGCGCUUCACUGCGUGUGUUGGUGUUCCGGAACUUUUACUUUGAGAAAAAUAGAGUGUUUCAAGCAGGCUUGUCGCCCUGAAUACUUCAGCAUGGAAUAAUAAGAUAGGACCUUGGUUCUAUUUUGUUGGUUUCUAGGACCAAGGUAAUGGUUAAUAGGGACAGUUGGGGGCAUUCGUAUUUAACUGUCAGAGGUGAAAUUCUUAGAUUUGUUAAAGACGAACUACUGCGAAAGCAUUUGCCAAGGAUGUUUUCAUUAAUCAAGAACGACAGUAGGGGGUUUGAAGACGAUUAGAUACCGUCGUAAUCUCUACCAUAAACUAUGCCGACUAGAGAUAGGGAAACGCCUACCUUGG
rnacentral:rRNA from 1 species